rnacentral:rRNA from 1 species
GGAGCAUGUGGUUUAAUUCGAUGCAACGCGAAGAACCUUACCAAGGCUUGACAUAUACGAGAACGGGCCAGAAAUGGUCAACUCUUUGGACACUCGUAAACAGGUGGUGCAUGGUUGUCGUCAGCUCGUGUCGUGAGAUGUUGGGUUAAGUCCCGCAACGAGCGCAACCCUCGUUCUAUGUUGCCAGCACGUAAUGGUGGGAACUCAUGGGAUACUGCCGGGGUCAACUCGGAGGAAGGUGGGGAUGACGUCAAAUCAUCAUGCCCCUUAUGUCUUGGGCUUCACGCAUGCUACAAUGGCCGGUACAAAGGGCUGCAAUACCGCGAGGUGGAGCGAAUCCCAAAAAGCCGGUCCCAGUUCGGAUUGAGGUCUGCAACUCGACCUCANGAAGUCGGAGUCGC